rnacentral:tmRNA from 1 species
UCGACAGGAGUAAGUCUGCUUAGAUGGCAUGUCGCUUUGGGCAAAGCGUAAAAAGCCCAAAUAAAAUUAAACGCAAACAACGUUAAAUUCGCUCCUGCUUACGCUAAAGCUGCGUAAGUUCAGUUGAGCCUGAAAUUUAAGUCAUACUAUCUAGCUUAAUUUUCGGUCAUUUUUGAUAGUGUAGCCUUGCGUUUGACAAGCGUUGAGGUGAAAUAAAGUCUUAGCCUUGCUUUUGAGUUUUGGAAGAUGAGCGAAGUAGGGUGAAGUAGUCAUCUUUGCUAAGCAUGUAGAGGUCUUUGUGGGAUUAUUUUUGGACAGGGGUUCGAUUCCCCUCGCUUCCACCA